GCCUCGUUAGCUCAGUUGGUAGAGCAGCGGAUUGAAAAUCCGCGUGUCCCUGGUUCGAUUCCGGGACGAGGCACCA
rnacentral:tRNA from 1 species